GCCUUUGGCCACACCAUCCUGAAUAUUAUCUCAGAAACAAAGCAGCAUUAGACCAAAUUAGUACUUGGACAGGAGACUGCUUGGGAAUACUGAGUCCAGGUGUUGUAGGCU
rnacentral:rRNA from 1 species